rnacentral:snRNA from 1 species
UUACCACCGAGCGGCGGG